CACCAAAAAGAUUUGGAUCUGCUUGCUGGUAGAGGACUUCCAACUGAUAAAGACAGAUCUUACAUAAUUGAGAUCUCUGGAAGAGUCCUGGAUGAAGACACUGGUGAAGAGCUAGAUAGCCUUGGGAAGCUCGCUCCAACAGUUGAGAAGGUAAAGCAUGGGUUUGGCAUGAAAGUUCCAAAAGCAGCUGCGUAAUGAAACUGUAGGAGAUAUGAAGCUCUAAUGUGCCCUCUGGCAUGUGGUAAAAUCUUAAGCCUUCCUGUAGUGGAAUUUGAAACACCAUCUUAGCAGAUAUGUUUGAAGUAUAUGGACAGUUUUUCAGGCAUCCUGGUACAUAACGAUGCAAUGUUGGAUGGUAACCUAUUAAAUAUAAAGCUUCAUCUCUCGUCUUCUGAUUUUGUAUUUUGAUUGUUAUGUAGACAAUUGGCAGUGAUCUUGUGCUAUGUUUUGCAUUUGUGAAUGUAAUUAUUCAAUUCUUUUUCACAAUCAAACAUUUCGUUGUAUGUAGUUUAACUUCAACCUUUGAUGAAUACCAUUCUACAGAUAAACUCAAACUACAUACAACGAAAUGUUUGAUUGU
rnacentral:misc_RNA from 1 species